rnacentral:rRNA from 1 species
GAUGAACGCUAGCGGAAGGCUUAAUACAUGCAAGUCGAGGGGUAACAUGGGAGCUUGCUCCUGAUGACGACCGGCGCACGGGUGAGUAACGCGUACACGAUCUACCUUUAGGAACGGGAUAGCCCUGGGAAACUGGGAGUAAUACCGUAUAGUAUUAGAGUAUAUAGAUGAUUCUAAUUAAAGAUUUAUUGCCUAGAGAUGAGUGUGCGUCCUAUUAGCUAGUUGGUAAGGUAACGGCUUACCAAGGCGACGAUAGGUAGGGGGCGUGAGAGCGUGGACCCCCACACGGGUACUGAGACACGGACCCGACUCCUACGGGAGGCAGCAGUAAGGAAUAUUGGACAAUGGGGGCAACCCUGAUCCAGCCAUUCCGCGUGCAGGAUGACGGCCCUCUGGGUUGUAAACUGCUUUUGUAUGGGAAGAAACACAGUCAUUUAUGAUUGUCUGACGGUACCAUAAGAAUAAGCACCGGCUAACUCCG